GAGUUUGUAGCUCAGUGGAUUAGAGCACGUGGCUACGAACCACGGGGUCGGGGGUUCGAAUCCCUCCAAACUCA
rnacentral:tRNA from 1 species